rnacentral:rRNA from 1 species
GAUGAACGCUGGCGGCGUGCCUAAUACAUGCAAGUCGAGCGAACGGACGAGAAGCUUGCUUCUCUGAUGUUAGCGGCGGACGGGUGAGUAACACGUGGAUAACCUACCUAUAAGACUGGGAUAACUUCGGGAAACCGGAGCUAAUACCGGAUAAUAUUUUGAACCGCAUGGUUCAAAAGCGAGAGACGGUCUUGCUGUCACUUAUAGAUGGAUCCGCGCUGCAUUAGCUAGUUGGUAAGGUAACGGCUUACCAAGGCAACGAUGCAUAGCCGACCUGAGAGGGUGAUCGGCCACACUGGAACUGAGACACGGUCCAGACUCCUACGGGAGGCAGCAGUAGGGAAUCUUCCGCAAUGGGCGAAAGCCUGACGGAGCAACGCCGCGUGAGUGAUGAAGGUCUUCGGAUCGUAAAACUCUGUUAUUAGGGAAGAACAUAUGUGUAAGUAACUGUGCACAUCUUGACGGUACCUAAUCAGAAAGCCACGGCUAACUACGUG